CUUCGUUUUGUCGUCUGAAAACUGGGGGAAGAGUAUCUCCCUCAAGGGAGGGCCGGAUGAGCUGAAGAGCACCGGAUGCAAGUGCAUAGUCGGGUUCAGCAGGUUUCUUUCUUUGCCUGUGCCUCCCAGAUGAUGGAGAGUGUGGGCAUGUGUUGGGAGAUGGGACAUAGGGAUGGUGGGGACAGCUCUCAGAUGGUGAAAUGGGGCUUCUGUGAACACCAGUCCACAUCCCCAUUCUGCCCAAGGAUAAUCUGUUGCUUCUUCCCCUCCCUCCUACCCAUCAUGAAGCCCCUCAUCUGCCCACCCAUCUGUCCAUCCAUCCACCCAACUAUCCACCUACCCAUCCAUCCGUCCAUCCAUCCAUCCAUUCACCCACCUACCCAUCCACCCAUUCAUUUGUCCAUCUGUCCAUUCGUCCACCUACCCAUCCAUUCAUUCAUCUGUCCAUCCAUCCAUCUACCCAUCCAUCCAUCCAUCCUUCCAAGACAGCUCUCUGCCCCUCCAAGCUCUGCACAGAAGUCUCCAGAAGCCACAGCAUUGACCAGUAGUUGUGAGCUGAGAUGCCUUCAGGGGCCAGGCAGGUACGUUCCAGCAGAGCAAGGUGAAAAAGAGCUGAAAUUGGCAUCAGAAGCCCAGAGUUCUGGUUCCAGCUCCGACCACUCAUUCAGUGUGUGACCUCAGGCAGGUCACCAGCCUGAGCUGUGCCUUCAUUUCAUCUGUCAGACGGAUGACUCUGCCCCUCAGAGCUUGCAGACGGCAAGGUGAUAAGGAACAAUAUGGACUUCUUGCAGCUCCGGGAGGCAGACGCUGGAGGGCUGGUGACCUGAUCCCACAAAGCCCCGGAGGUGCUGUGGACCAACUUGCAACACAAGACGCUAGGAGGGAGGACGGCUGUUGGCAUCUGUUGACCACAAACACGUUUGCUGUGCACACUUGUGCACAUGGGUGAGCUCCGUGGGUCCAGACAUGUACAGGGCAGGUGAAUGCAUUGAGUACCAUGGGCAUUAUCCCAGGCCCACAGGCACGUGCAGUCACACACACACGUGGACAUGCCACUGCGCACCUAAGAGACACACACACACACACACACAUGCAUAUGCACACACACACAUAUGCACACACACACAGACACUGUAAACAUCAGGCUCAAAGGCCCAUCCAGGAGACCAAAGGCUGCAGGUGUCUUCACAUCACAGCCCAGGUGACCUUGUCUCUGGCUCAGGGCCCAGUGGCCUGGCCAGCUCUGGACAUCCAGUCAGCCUCACUAGCUGGCCUGGGGUCCAGGGCUCGAAAGUGGCGGAGGAAUGACCACCCACUGGCGGAGGUAGCUCCGGGGGGGUCCUUCAUCCCCGGGGCUGGUGAAGUCACACUCCACAGGGCUGCUGCAGUCAGAGCCCACAAAGCCACUGUCAAACGUGUCCAUAUCCAGGCCGGCCAGGGGUGAGCCCGCCUCACUCUCUGAGACCCCUCCAGGUGACCGGCCACCCCAGGGCAGUCCCCCAGCCCAGUCCUCCCCAUCUGCAAGGGGUGGCUUUAGUCUGUCCAGGAGGCUUCCCAGGGGCCCUCCCAGCCCAGGGCUGCCAGCUGAGACACAGCCACAGGAGAGGACUGUGGUCCCUGCACCCAAGAGUGGGUCCUCUAGGCCUGGGCUGGGCUCCAGGCCAGCAUCCAGGUCCAGGGCUGGGUAGCCGUCAUCCUCACAGCUGCAGGGCCAGGUGCAUGGCCCCUCUGCAUCUAGCACAGUCACUGUGUCAAUGGACACCAGGCCGUAUGGCCGGUCCCUCUCCUCACUGUAAGCUGAGCCCCCCAAGUUCUGGGCUGUCGGCCAGAAGCUGGGCUUGGGCACACCGUCAGACUCCACCAGCUCUGCUGGUUCUUGUAGCUCCGUGAGCUGCAGCCUCUUGGCCGGGCUCCGUGGUGGGUGGCAGCUGUACACCUCCAGGGUGGAGGGCACCUCUGGGCUCCAGGGUCCCAGCUCCAGGCUAGAGCCAGUGAAGGGUGCACCCACCCAUUUCUGUGAGAGAGAAAAAGAGAGAGUCAUAGCACAGGAUGAGGGUAAGGUGAGGGUUUAUUUUUCUUUUACUUUUAUUCUUUUGAGACAGUCUGGCUCUGCUGCCCAGGCUGGAAUGCAGUGGUGCCAUCUCGGUUCACUGCAACCUCUGCCUCCCAGGAUCAAGUGAUUCUCCUGCCUCAGCCUCCCAAGUAGCUGGGACUGCAGGCGCCUGUCACCACACCCGGCUAAUUUUUGUAUUUUUAGUAGAGACGUGGUUUCACCAUGUUGGCCAGACUGAUCUUGAACUCCUGACGUCAGGUGAUCCACCCGCCUCAGCCUCCCAAAGUGUUGGGAUUACAGGCGUGAGUCACUGUGCCCAGCCAAGGUGAGGGUUUAAACAGACAGAAAGGCAGACACAGACACAGAGACAAGACAAAGAGACAUCAAGAGAGACAGACAGAGACAUGAAGAUAGACAAAAGACACCGAGAGACAGAGAGAGAGAGAGGAAUCAGGACCACAAUGUGCUCCCACCCUAGUGGAUCCCCCUCCUACUCUGGGCCUCAGUUUCCCUACUUGUAGAAGGGAGUUGCUACCCUUAGUAGUGUGACCAGUCAGACAACUGGUGGCCCCAUAGUCCAGGCAGGGACCAAGAUUCCUGAGUCAAGGAGACAUGGGGGCAGGAGGGCCUGAGGUCUGAGGUACCCCUGAGCCAUCUCCUGCUUUCCCGCCUCCUUGAUGCUUCUUGAAACCUAGCACUCUCCUGGUUUAUGUGUCCCCACCAGACAGACACUUGGCCCCUGGACAUAAGUCUUGUCUCUUCUGUCCAUGGCUGUAGCCCCAGUGCCUAGCACAAAG
rnacentral:lncRNA from 1 species